UACGUAGGUGGCAAGCGUUGUCCGGAUUUACUGGGCGUAAAGGAUGCGUAGGUGGAUAUGCAAGUCAGAUGUGAAAUACCCGGGCUUAACUCGGGUGCUGCAUUUGAAACUAUAUAUCUAGAGUGCAGGAGAGGUAAGUAGAAUUCCUAGUGUAGCGGUGAAAUGCGUAGAGAUUAGGAAGAACACCAGUGGCGAAGGCGACUUACUGGACUGUAACUGACACUGAGGCAUGAAAGCGUGGGGAGCAAACAGG
rnacentral:rRNA from 1 species